rnacentral:rRNA from 1 species
CCUACGGGAGGCAGCAGUGGGGGAUCUUCCACAAUGGGGGAAACCCUGAUGCAGCGACGCCGCGUGAGUGAAGAAGGAUUUCGGUAUGUAAAGCUCUAUCAGCAGGGAAGAACAUGACAGUAACUGACCAAGUCGCCCCGGCUAAAUACGUUCCAACAGCCGAGGUCAUACGUAGGGGGCAGGCGCUAGCCGGAUUUACUGGGGGGAAAGGGAGCGUAGACGGUUAUGUAAGUAUGGAGGGAAAGGCCGGGGCCGAAACCCGAGACUGCUUUGGAAACUGUGUAACUGGAGUGCAGGAGGGGCGAGUGGAAUUCCAGGUGUAGCGGUGAAAUGCGUAGAUAUCAGGAGGAACACCGGUGGUGAAGGCGGCCUGCUGGACUGAAACUGACGCUGAGGCUCGAAAGCGUGGGGAGCAAACAGGAUUAGAUACCCCAGUAGUC